GACGAACGCUGGCGGCGUGCCUAAUACAUGCAAGUAGAACGCUGAAGGAGGAGCUUGCUUCUCUGGAUGAGUUGCGAACGGGUGAGUAACGCGUAGGUAACCUGCCUGGUAGCGGGGGAUAACUAUUGGAAACGAUAGCUAAUACCGCAUAAUAGGAGAUGUUGCAUGACAUUUGCUUAAAAGGUGCAAUUGCAUCACUACCAGAUGGACCUGCGUUGUAUUAGCUAGUUGGUGAGGUAACGGCUCACCAAGGCGACGAUACAUAGCCGACCUGAGAGGGUGAUCGGCCACACUGGGACUGAGACACGGCCCAGACUCCUACGGGAGGCAGCAGUAGGGAAUCUUCGGCAAUGGACGGAAGUCUGACCGAGCAACGCCGCGUGAGUGAAGAAGGUUUUCGGAUCGUAAAGCUCUGUUGUAAGAGAAGAAUGAGUGUGAGAGUGGAAAGUUCACACUGUGACGGUAUCUUACCAGAAAGGGACGGCUAACUACGUG
rnacentral:rRNA from 1 species